rnacentral:rRNA from 1 species
AGUGAACGCUGGCGGUAGGCCUAACACAUGCAAGUCGAACGGCAGCACAGUAAGAGCUUGCUCUUACGGGUGGCGAGUGGCGGACGGGUGAGGAAUACAUCGGAAUCUACUUUUUCGUGGGGGAUAACGCAGGGAAACUUACGCUAAUACCGCAUACGACCUACGGGUGAAAGCAGGGGAUCUUCGGACCUUGCGCGAUUGAAUGAGCCGAUGUCGGAUUAGCUAGUUGGCGGGGUAAAGGCCCACCAAGGCGACGAUCCGUAGCUGGUCUGAGAGGAUGAUCAGCCACACUGGAACUGAGACACGGUCCAGACUCCUAAGGGAGGCAGCAGUGGGGAAUAUUGGACAAUGGGCGCAAGCCUGAUCCAGCCAUACCGCGUGGGUGAAGAAGGCCUUCGGGUUGUAAAGCCCUUUUGUUGGGAAAGAAAAGCAGCAGGUUAAUACCCCGCUGUUCUGACGGUACCCAAAGAAUAAGCACCGGCUAACUUCGUG